CACGGGGGGAGCAAGCGUUGUUCGGAAUCACUGGGCGUAAAGGGCGUGUAGGCGGUUCGGUAAGUGGAAUGUGAAAUGCUCCGGCUCACCCGGAGUACUGCAUCCCAAACUGCCGAGCUUGAGUAUGGGAGAGGAUGAGGGAAUUCCUGGUGUAGCGGUGAAAUGCGUAGAUAUCAGGAGGAACACCGGUGGCGAAGGCGACUCACUGGACACAUAUUGACGCUGAGGUGCGAAAGCGUGGGGAGCAAACAGG
rnacentral:rRNA from 1 species